rnacentral:rRNA from 1 species
UACGAAGGGAGCUAGCGUUGUUCGGAAUCACUGGGCGUAAAGCGCACGUAGGCGGAUGUGUCAGUCAGGGGUGAAAUCCCGGAGCUCAACUUCGGAACUGCCCUUGAUACAGCACGUCUUGAGUCCGAUAGAGGUGGGUGGAAUUCCUAGUGUAGAGGUGAAAUUCGUAGAUAUUAGGAAGAACACCGGUGGCGAAGGCGGCCCACUGGAUCGGUACUGACGCUGAGACACGAAAGCGUGGGGAGCAAACAGG